rnacentral:rRNA from 1 species
CCGCGAAAACUUCGCAAUGUGGGAAACCACGACGAGGGAAUCCCUAGUGCCUAUGCUAUGCAUAGGCUGUUUCCCUGUCUAAAAAGCAGGGAGAGUAAGGGCUGGGUAAGACGGGUGCCAGCCGCCGCGGUAAA